UCUUAUUGUGAUUCCACUGAGGGUCAAGUUCUUAAAAGCAAGAGUAAGGCAAUAUUGGGAGAAGUCAUUUAUAAUCUGCAAACAUCUUGACCUGAGAUCAUUGAAUAGUGCUAGCUAUUAAAGAUGGUUAAUGGUUUCUUUUAGCUUCCUGUGAUGUCGUCACGGGGUUCAUCCUUUUCAGGCAAAUCAGGUUCUUUGUCACAGGAAGCCACAGAAGGCUGCACAAGUUUGGUUUCCAGCAGGAAACUAAAAGUUACUUUGUUAGGUUCUGAGUGGGGGUCUACAAAAGGAGGCUUGUCCACAAUUAACAGAGAGCUUGCUAUUCAGUUGGCAAAGAUUGACAAUGU